GGAGGAAUAUUGGUCAAUGGGCGGGAGCCUGAACCAGCCAAGUCGCGUGAGGGAAGACGGUCCUAUGGAUUGUAAACCUCUUUUGUCGGGGAGCAAAGAGGCCACGUGUGGUCAAAAGCGAGAGUACCCGAAGAAAAAGCAUCGGCUAACUCCGUGCCAGCAGCCGCGGUAAUACGGAGGAUGCGAGCGUUAUCCGGAUUUAUUGGGUUUAAAGGGUGCGUAGGCGGGACGGUAAGUCAGCGGUAAAAAUGCGGAGCUCAACUCCGUCGAGCCGUUGAAACUGCCGUUCUUGAGUGAGCGAGAAGUAUGCGGAAUGCGUGGUGUAGCGGUGAAAUGCAUAGAUAUCACGCAGAACUCCGAUUGCGAAGGCAGCAUACCGGCGCUCAACUGACGCUGAAGCACGAAGGCGUGGUAUCGAACAGGAUUAGAUACC
rnacentral:rRNA from 1 species